GUCUACGGUCAUAUAAGCUUGAACACAUCCCAUCUCAUUUGAUCUCAGAAGCUAACCAGGAUGGGGCCUGGUUAGUAUUUGGAUGGGAAAUGUAUUUCCUAGACC
rnacentral:rRNA from 1 species